rnacentral:rRNA from 1 species
AUACGUAGGUGGCAAGCGUUGUCCGGAAUUAUUGGGCGUAAAGCGCAUGUAGGCGGUUUGGUAAGUCGGUCGUGAAAAUGCGGUGCUUAACGCCGUAUGGCGAUUGAAACUGCUGAACUUGAGGGCAGGAGAGGAAAGGGGAACUCCCAGGGUAGCGGUGAAAUGCGUAGAUAUUGGGAAGAACACCGGUGGCGAAGGCGCCUUUCUGGACUGUGUCUGACGCUCAGAUGCGAAAGCCAGGGUAGCGAACGGGAUUAGAUACCCCGGUAGUCCUGGCCGUAAACGAUGGGUACUAGGUGUGGGAGGUAUCGACUCCUUCCGUGCCGGAGUUAACGCAAUAAGUACCCCGCCUGGGGAGUACGGCCGCAAGGCUUAAACUCAAAGGAAUUGACGGGG